GUAUCCAUUGUCUAAUGGAUAGGGCCGGAGUCUUCUAAACCUUUGGUAUAGGUUCAAAUCCUAUUGGACGCA
rnacentral:tRNA from 1 species